GACAUAUCACAAAAGCAGACUCUAUCCUAGAUGUAGAAUUGGUCUGUGUAAUUUGGAAGGAAGCAUAGCACUCACAGAAAUACUUGCUGCUGAAGGGAAGGUCUGAUGAGACAUGAUGUUCAGCCCAAUUUGCAGUCAGAGUGGCUUACCAAAAGGUGAUCCUAUCAACCCAUUUGAAGUCCAGAAGAGCAGCUGGAGAGAUUCCUGAAGAAGUUGUCAUGACAGUGUGGUAUGGCUGUGGAAAACAAGGGCCGUAGCCCAAAGCUCACUGUUUUCACUAUCACUGCAACCGUACAGGGUGACAUAGAAGUGGAUGAAACAGUGCCUAGUCUUGCCUUCAGCAAGUACAGCCACAGCGGUGGUGUAUUGCUGCCCAGCUGCUUAGGCUGGGGACAAGCUAUCUGUCCUUGCUAUUACUUUAGAGUUUCCACCACCAAUUCUUCUCUUCUGUCUGAUUGAGGGAAAGAGGAGUGUUUUUCUAGCUCCAGUCUGAAGAGAAAAGGCCUGGACAUAAGGAAGCAGCAUCAGAUGAUCACACUGCUGAUGACUACUCUGACUUUCAUGGGCAAUCCUUAGGCUAGAGGAAGCACUUCCUUAUCCUCACCUGGGAAAGCCCUAAUGCUAUAAAUGCAUCAUGGUACUCACAGACACACAGACUUUGGGAUACAGGGCAGAGACACUUGGUCUGCAGAGAAGCCUGCUACUUCAGCCAAAAUUGAAAGGGCACUUGCUAUUUUGCUUUGCUGAACUGUGAUUCUGUUUUAUAACUCCUGACACACUAACUAAGGUUUGGUAUGUGACUGAUGAUGUUGCUAGGAGUGAACAUGUGCACUGCCUAACUUCAUCUCACUGUGUUAAGUUCUGUUUGGAAUUUAAAAAAAAAGGUUGUUUUAACAUCUAUGCCUGCAUUUGCUGUCUCAGAAUUGCUGCUCCAGGGUGCAGACAGGAGAAACCCUGGAUAGGGGAGUUGGAUAAGGAACUAGGAGGCAGAGCUGCAGAGCUUGCAAGGGGCAGGUAGCUCCUCAUGCAAAACCAGGAUUAGUCAGGGGCACACUGAGAAGCAACAACCAGGGAGAGGUGGACCAGGGAGAAGCAGUUAGUGUAGCAGCUCAGAGCAGGUUAAGCAGCCAUGGUGGCUCAUAGCACACAAAGUGGGCAGUCACCCAGGAGUGGCCAGCUGAGGGUACUGUGCAAGGCAUGCCCAGCAGUGUUGGACGGCAUUGUUGGCAGAACACACAGGAGCUGGCGGCAAGCCCAGGAAAUAAACAUCGAAAGAUGAGAGCA
rnacentral:lncRNA from 1 species